rnacentral:sRNA from 1 species
CCGCCAUGAUCUGCGGGCAGAUCAGGUGCACGUGGCAGUCGAUCGCGCCUGCGGUGACGAUGCGGCCGUUGCCGGCGAUGAUCUCGGUGGACGGACCCACGACGAGGCCGGGGUGCACACCGGUCAUGAUGUCGGGAUUGCCGGCCUUGCCGAUCGCGGUGAUCCGGCCGUCCCGGAUGCCGAUGUCGGCCUUGAUGAUUCCCCAGUAGUCGAGGAUCACCGCGCCCGUGAUGACCGUGUCGGGGGCGCCGUCUGCCCUGGUGACCCGCGACUGGCCCAUCGAUUCGCGCAG